UUUGCAGACUACUCGUAAGAAUUUUAUUUUGAGUAAGCCGAGGGUCACUUCAGGGUGUUGACCAGAGGAAGUCAUUGUCUGAUUAUGCUCAUAGGUUUACUCUGAUUGCUGAGCUGAGUGAACACAGAAAGAGGAACAAGUCAAGGACGGUCUCCCAGUUAGGAGGCGGUUGUGAUCAUACUGGUGAGGCAUGUUAUGACUUGGCCCAGACUGGAAAUGGUGGAGGAGGUGAGUAAUAGAGUAUAUACUCGAAGGUGGAAUGCCAUGAUUUGCUGAUCACCUGGACGUGGCAUAUGAGCAAGAGUGGAGACAAAGAUGUUUUUGAGUCGUCUGGUCUGAGCAACUGCAUUAAUGGCAAGGAGAAGGGGUUGGGGGGCCGAUCAGGAGCUCAGUGCUGGAACAGUGUAUUUGAGAUGCUUGUUGGUCAUCCACGUUGGGGGAGGACUCCACGUGGAGUCUGGGGCUCCUGAGAGGAAGCAGUCAGAUAUAAAUUUGGUGUCCACCGUGAAUAGAUGCCAUAUAAAGUCACAGGACAGAAUGAGAUUACCAACGGAGUGUAGGCGGAAGGCAGCAGAGAGAGAGAGAGGUCGGACCUGAGCUUCGGGGCUGCAGCAUGAGGAGACCAGGGAGGUGAGGAAGACCAGGGAAAGAGGCUGGGAAUAAAAGGCCCGGUGAAAAGGAAAACCAGGAGAAUGCGGGACGCUGGACGGUGCGUGAGUUUACCUGGGGAGAGCCCCGAUCUUCUCUUUUUGCACCCUGACCAACAGAAAUUAUGCUCCGGUGAUAAUCCCUGGUUGCCUACGCUUCGCACACCGAUCAAGCCUUGCAGUAGCUGGGGACCGGAGGUCUUGGGGUAAAUCCUUUCCUCUCAAGCUGUCACCUCAUUGCUUCCUUCUCUUUCAGGAUUUCUUUUGUUCCUGGAGAAGACACACCUUUCACAUCCACCCUUUCAUCACCUGACUGUGGUUGAGAGUUCCUUCCAACCACAGACUUCACCCCCGUCAUGGAAUAGGAAGGAUAUGGGUUUAAUAAUCCUCAUUAAACAUAGUGCCACACAGUGGAAAUUUGUAGUAUUUGACAGAAACCGAAACGCAACUGACUUGUUGCUUAGAUAAUUACAGGUAGAGUUUACCAGACUAAACACAUUUGUAGGAAGGGUGAAUUUAAUGUGUUUAAAGGAAAAAACUGUCUUAAAAGCUGUCAAGCACUUUAAAAUGUCACAUUGCACCCAAACAGUUGAUUCCGAGUACACAUAAAUCUUCUGUAUUUACAAAAGCAAGUUUUUGAGGAUUUCUGGCAGGCGGUGGUGGUUUUGCCUACUUUUUACUUACUGCAAUAAAAUGACAGAAAAACCCUAUCGUUCACUCUUGUUUUGCUCACUUACUUGGGUUUUCUCCCACAAUCAGUCUGAAAACAAAUGUUUUCCUUUAUGGCUUUAUCAUUCCAUGAAGUAUAUUCUUGGUGGCACAACUGAAUUCUGCUUUCUAAAUCAUAUGCAGAAAAUGUUUUCCAAAAUCUCUCCACACUUCUGUAGGUGGGACAGACACUGAAGGUGAGGAAAACCCUGGAGGCUCAGAGGUAGAUGGGCCUGUCUCCCUGGGAAUGUACUUUUCAUUCUCGGGGCUCUGGUGUUUUGGGGCUCACAUCAUGAUCUCUGGGAAGGUGAGUGGAACGAGGGCUCUGGUCUAUUAGCUAAGGGUGUGCUAGAUGCUAUCACAACGAAAUCCCCACAUCUCAGCAGCUUUGCACGUAAAAGUUUCUAUCGUGACAUGUAACUGUCCAAGGCGGAUACUUCUCAUCCAGCAGCUCUCCUCCACAAUGUGAGUCAAGGGCCUGAGCUUCUUCCAUCUCGUGGCUCCCAAGACAGUCCCCAGAGUUGACUCAUUCUUGCCCGCUUGGAAGAGAAAAGCACAUGGGGGAUUGCAUGUGGUUCUAUGACCUGGGAUUGACACACAUCAGUUCUGCUCAUUUUCCACUGACCAGAGCAGGACUGAUGCUGGACCAUGGCCACACCCCGCAUCGCAAGGGAGGCUGGGAAGUGUAGUUUAGGGGUGUGCCAGUGUUGGAUACACAUAUAAUAGUUUCUGCCUUCUGUAGCCAUAAUCAAGAGGUUUUUUACUCAGCAGUGGUUGUGCUCUCACUCCUAGACUUUUUGGGGAUACUCACCGGGGCAGGCCCAGAGAGACUGAACAAAAUCUGUUAUUAAAUUAAUUUCCUUUAUUUUCUACUCAGUUCUGCUUUUCUAUUUUUAUUUCAUUGGCUUCUAGACUCGAAUGAAACAUCUUAAAAUCUUGGUCUAAAGUAACCUCUCAAAAAACGAAAAAAAGAAAAGAGUCUAUAGCGAAAGGAGUUGACUUGAUCUUGUUUUCUUGUACAUCAUUUGAAAACGAGGGGCUCCACACCAAAAUAUUCUAGUGGCCUGAAGCAGGCAGAAUCAAGAUGUCUCCCUCCCUGUCUUUCUGGAAGACCUGGAUAUCAUUCAUCACUGGGUACCUGACUGUCAUAACGUCCUACCGCCGGCAGAAGUCAGAGGGGCUGAGUGGAAGCCAGACAAAGGAGCAAUUACCCCCACAUGACUGCCUACUAAGAAUUCUGGCUGGAGAAAAGACUUUUCUGCAGUCUGUUUUUGCAGAUUCUGCUCCGGGAACCCAAGAGCCUUUCACAUAGGAAGAUUCCAGAGUGUCGCCCAAAUGAAUGUGCCACGCUGUUGGCAAGGAGCAUGCCACUGCAAAAGGGAUUAGACUGGAACCUACCUUUGGAAGGCGUGUUGGGAGAGAAAGUCCCAUUGAUGCUACCUAAAAUUCUGGGGAAAUGUCUUCAGCAAUUUUUCAAUGUGAUGCAGAUACGAGAGCUUUUCUCACUCUGUUGGGAAGGUCAGGGAAAGUGAAAUGACCCAGUGGGCCAGGUUAGCACUGGCCUAGCUAGAAGCUUGGCCAGUGGACUGAACUGAAGAACCAGCAGGGUUUAAGGGCAAGGUGCCGUCUAGAAGGUGGGGCUGAGGCUGGGGUGCAAAGUCCCAGGUGCUGCGGCUGGUAGUGGGUGGGGAUUUUACUAGGAUUGUGCGGAUGGGGUUGUUCACUGUAUGGAAUCUGGACCAGAGAUGGAAACUUGGCUGGUGUUUGAGAAGCACAUGAACCAGAAGCUGGGCCUAGAACUGUAGCUUAUUCCCUUAAGUCUUAUUUAUCAACAGGAAUCUUCUUUUCAUAGUCUCCCUUCCUCUGGUCCAGCAUCUCCCAGAAUUUAAUGUCAAA